rnacentral:rRNA from 1 species
AACGAACGCUGGCGGCAGGCUUAACACAUGCAAGUCGAGCGCCCCGCAAGGGGAGCGGCAGACGGGUGAGUAACGCGUGGGAAUCUACCCAUCUCUACGGAAUAACGCAGGGAAACGUGUGCUAAUACCGUAUACGUCCUUCGGGAGAAAGAUUUAUCGGAGAUGGAUGAGCCCGCGUUGGAUUAGCUAGUUGGUGGGGUAAAGGCCUACCAAGGCGACGAUCCAUAGCUGGUCUGAGAGGAUGAUCAGCCACACUGGGACUGAGACACGGCCCAGACUCCUACGGGAGGCAGCAGUGGGGAAUAUUGGACGAUGGGCGCAAGCCUGAUCCAGCCAUGCCGCGUGAGUGAUGAAGGCCCUAGGGUUGUAAAGCUCUUUCACCGGUGAAGAUAAUGACGGUAACCGGAGAAGAAGCCCCGGCUAACUUCGUGCCAGCCGCCGCUGUAAGAC